rnacentral:rRNA from 1 species
CCUACGGGAGGCAGCAGUGAGGAAUAUUGGACAAUGGGCGCAAGCCUGAUCCAGCCAUGCCGCGUGCAGGAAGAAGCAUCUAUGGUGUGUAAACUGCUUUUGUACAGGAAGAAACACUCCCUCGUGAGGGAGCUUGACGGUACUGUAAGAAUAAGGACCGGCUAACUCCGUGCCAGCAGCCGCGGUAAUACGGAGGGUCCGAGCGUUAUCCGGAAUCAUUGGGUUUAAAGGGUCCGUAGGCGGUUUAAUAAGUCAGUGGUGAAAUCUGGUCGCUCAACGAUCAAACGGCCAUUGAUACUGUUAGACUUGAAUUAUAAGGAAGUAACUAGAAUAUGUAGUGUAGCGGUGAAAUGCUUAGAUAUUACAUGGAAUACCAAUUGCGAAGGCAGGUUACUACUUAUGGAUUGACGCUGAUGGACGAAAGCGUGGGGAGCGAACAGGAUUAGAUACCCUGGUAGUCCACGCCGUAAACGAUGGAUACUAGCUGUUCGGAGCAAUCUGAGUGGCUAAGCGAAAGUGAUAAGUAUCCCACCUGGGGAAGUACGUUCGCAAGAAAGUUAGAAAGUAACAAUUAGAGUUAGACGGGACGUUGAGGACGUUAGCCGAACGGACGACCGAACCGAACGGGGAAGGUUAAGGGAGG